CACAGCUGAGCGAGCUAACCUGGAAGAUUUCCUUUGUGUUUCGGUGUGGAUUUUCAUGGAGAGGGGAUGGAGAGAUUUAAGGUCUUAAAUGGAAUCCUUAGUCCUAAACCCGGGUCUUUCUGAUGUCAAAGUUCAUGCUCUUUCUGCUACAGGAGCUACGUCUCUAUACUACGUAAACAAAUGAAGCGAGUCACCUGAAGCUGCUAGGACAAUAAAGCAUUUUCAUUUCA